rnacentral:rRNA from 1 species
GUGGGGAAUAUUGCACAAUGGGCGCAAGCCUGAUGCAGCCAUGCCGCGUGUAUGAAGAAGGCCUUCGGGUUGUAAAGUACUUUCAGCGAGGAGGAAGGCAUUAAGGUUAAUAACCUUAGUGAUUGACGUUACUCGCAGAAGAAGCACCGGCUAACUCCGUGCCAGCAGCCGCGGUAAUACGGAGGGUGCAAGCGUUAAUCGGAAUUACUGGGCGUAAAGCGCACGCAGGCGGUCUGUCAAGUCGGAUGUGAAAUCCCCGGGCUCAACCUGGGAACUGCAUCCGAAACUGGCAGGCUAGAGUCUUGUAGAGGGGGGUAGAAUUCCAGGUGUAGCAGUGAAAUGCGUAGAGAUGUGGAGGAACACCGAUGGCGAAGGCAGCCCCCUGGGAUGACACUGACGCUCAUGUACGAAAGCGUGGGUAGCAAACAGGAUUAGAAACCCGUGUAGUCC